rnacentral:rRNA from 1 species
AACGAACGCUGGCGGCAGGCCUAACACAUGCAAGUCGAGCGAGGACUUCGGUCCUAGCGGCGGACGGGUGAGUAACGCGUGGGAACGUGCCCUUUGCUUCGGAAUAGCCCUGGGAAACUGGGAGUAAUACCGGAUGAGCCCUUUGGGGGAAAGAUGUAUCGGCGAAGGAUCGGCCCGCGUUGGAUUAGGUAGUUGGUGGGGUAAUGGCCUACCAAGCCGACGAUCCAUAGCUGGUUUGAGAGGAUGAUCAGCCGCACUGGGACUGAGACACGGCCCAGACUCCUACGGGAGGCAGCAGUAGGGAAUCUUAGGCAAUGGGGGAAACCCUGAUCUAGCCAUGCCGCGUGAGCGAUGAAGGCCUUAGGGUUGUAAAGCUCUUUCAGCUGGGAAGAUAAUGACGGUACCAGCAGAAGAAGCCCCGGCUAACUCCGUG